rnacentral:rRNA from 1 species
GAUGAACGCUGGCGGCGUGCUUAACACAUGCAAGUCGAACGAAGCACUUUAUUAUGAUUUCUUCGGAAUGACGAUUUAGUGACUGAGUGGCGGACGGGUGAGUAACGCGUGGGUAACCUGCCUUAUACAGGGGGAUAACAGUUAGAAAUGACUGCUAAUACCGCAUAAGCGCACAGGAUUGCAUGAUCUAGUGUGAAAAACUCCGGUGGUAUAAGAUGGACCCGCGUCUGAUUAGCUGGUUGGUGAGGUAACGGCCCACCAAGGCGACGAUCAGUAGCCGACCUGAGAGGGUNACCGGCCACAUUGGGACUGAGACACGGCCCAAACUCCUACGGGAGCAGCAGUGGGAAUAUUG